rnacentral:tRNA from 1 species
GCGGAUGUGGUGGAAUUGGUAGACACGCUGGCUUGAGGGGCCAGUGCCCACUUUUUUGGGCGUGGAGGUUCAAGUCCUCUCAUCCGCACCA